GACGAACGCUGGCGGCGUGCCUAAUACAUGCAAGUCGAGCGGACUUAAAAAGCCUGCUUUUUAAGUUAGCGGCGGACGGGUGAGUAACACGUGGGCAACCUGCCUGUAAGACUGGGAUAACUUCGGGAAACCGGAGCUAAUACCGGAUAAUCCUUUUCUACUCAUGUAGAAAAGCUGAAAGACGGUUUACGCUGUCACUUACAGAUGGGCCCGCGGCGCAUUAGCUAGUUGGUGAGGUAACGGCUCACCAAGGCGACGAUGCGUAGCCGACCUGAGAGGGUGAUCGGCCACACUGGGACUGAGACACGGCCCAGACUCCUACGGGAGGCAGCAGUAGGGAAUCUUCCGCAAUGGACGAAAGUCUGACGGAGCAACGCCGCGUGAGUGAUGAAGGUUUUCGGAUCGUAAAACUCUGUUGUUAGGGAAGAACAAGUACGAGAGUAACUGCUCGUACCUUGACGGUACCUAACCAGAAAGCCACGGCUAACUACGUG
rnacentral:rRNA from 1 species